CGUGAAACCGUUUAGGGGUAAACCUGAGAAACCCGAAAGAUGGAAGGGAGAAAUUCACCGCGACUCGCGAACGGCGUCGGGCGGGGUUGAGUGACGGUGGAAACGUUCGCGUUUUUCCGCGCCCUCCGUUCGAACGAACCGUACGCGAACGCGUGCACUUUUCUCCUGGUAAGACGUCGCGAUCCGUCGGGCGUCGGUCUACGGUACGCGGUGGAGCCCGUCAGUCGUCGUUUACCCGACGUACUGGCGAACCCGCGUGUUUCCCGGCCGACACGCUCGACGGUAWACUAACGGUCGGAGGCCGCUCGUUUUUUAAGGAGCGUUCGACUCGUCGCAAGCGCGUCAGUUAUGUGGGCGCGCGGACCUAGUGCCGCGUCCCGCUUCUGGCGACUGUUGGUGACGAAGUUCUCGAACAGACCUGGACCGAUCUGCGACGCUAUAGCUUUGGGUAAUUUCAGGACCCGUCUUGAAACACGGACCAAGGAGUCUAGCAUGUACGCGAGUCAUUGGGAAACACUAAACCUAAAGGCGUAAUGAAAGUGAAGGUCUUCCUCGCGAGGACCGAGGGAGGACGGGCGGCGCGCCCUUAAAAGCGCCCGCUCUGCACUCCCGGGGCGUCUCGUUCUCAUUGCGAGAAGAGGCGCACCAAGAGCGUACACGCUGGGACCCGAAAGAUGGUGAACUAUGCCUGGUCAG
rnacentral:rRNA from 1 species